ensembl:lncRNA
CUCCUUUCUAUUGUCCACUGGGAAGCUACAUUUAGGAAAUUAAUUCAAAAUUCGUAUUUAACUCACUUUUCUUAUAAAUUAAUGUGCAUAUUUACAUCUACCAUGUGGCAGUAUCAUCGAUGUCUGCUUUUUUUUCUGCUUCUUCCCUCCACUAAUAAUUACUAUUCUCUAAUAAAAAUUAGAGGAUGGAGGAAAUAAUACUAAUCACGAAUUCUAGCACUGUCACACAAAGAUCCUCAUUAGAGCCUGCAAUCACAUGUUGUUUAAAUAAAUGCCUGUAAUUCUUGCCUUUGCAUCUGGAGUAUCCAUUUUCCCUCCAUGACAUCAGUCAAGUCUUUCCCUGUUGACUCACUCCUCUUGCAUAAGCAUUGGCCUUUAUUUCUGAGGAGUAUCACUGGUGCUGGGCUGAGGUGGAAGAGGGGAAUUAAUUUGCUGUGGAUUGGCUGUGCUCGUGGCCUUCAUCAUCCCGAUUCCUUCUAGUUAAAGCAAGAGCAGUGGUGGCAGGAAAACGUCACUGGGAUGCCCUUCACCGCGUAGACAACUACGAACAGGAUGAGAAUUGUGACUCUGAGAAGCAGCUCAUUCACUGCAAGUAGAGAGCCUUGCUUGCUGACUGUCCCAAUGACUUUGCUGAGGUUUUGAUGCCCAGCUCUUAUGAGAUAUUGACUGUGGUUUGUACCUGGUGAAAUAAGCAUGUGGAAAUGACUUGGCAGUGUUCUCCCCCUGUACCAACUCCAGGAAUUGUUGCUGCACAGGACAACAACGACCACUAGUGGCUAACGAGGAAUUUUCCCAAAUGGAUAAAAGUGGAAGAGAAAACCCAUAGGUUUAAUACGCUGAGUUACUGUGGCAGAUGACUGUGGAUGGAUUUAGUGUGCUAAGAUGUAAAGCAGGUUUCAAGUCAAUUUCUCCCUCCAGACCAUGCUGUCUUGCCUUUACUCUGCCAUGAGUUCGGCUCUUAUGCUCGUGCCCAUCACACAAGGCUAUCAGCAGCAGUGGCUUCCAAUGCUGUCCCAACUACAGAGAACCCAGACCUCACACUCUGUUGGUUGCAGUACCAAAAGGCAGAGGAAGGUGGCACAGGAGGAAGGGGAAUCAGAGGUUCGUUAAGAGCAGAGAUGCUGCAGUGGGCGCUGCUGCCCUUGUGCUGCCAUUGGACCCUGUGUGAACUGAGUAAAAAGAGAGGGAAGUUCGAGUGUGAAACGGUAGAAUGAAAUGCGGAUAAUAGAGAAGCACACGCCGAUCCUGACAUUCGUGCCUUGACUUCGUGUAGACCCUAUUUCCUGCUAGUAGUCUGAGUAAACUGAGUUUUCCACUGCUCUGUGGGUGCACUGGGUGCUGCAGCAAGGGCAGGAAAGUCCACAGCAGAGUUAAUUUCCCCCAUCCACGCAAAUGUGUGUAGGUCACGUUGUUGUUAAUGAGCUGCAGGCGUGAUUGGAGGGGGAAUGCGCUCCACUCUUACUUUAUGAGGCAGUGUGUAGUUAUUGUUCUGAAUGGUUUCUGCAAAGUGCAGCUGAAACCCAGCCAGGGGCAUGGUGCCAAAGGAAAGGGGAAAAAUACUUAAGGCAGACAGUUUGCCAGUAGCUUAGCAGCUGUCAACUAGUUGUUCCAGGAAGAUAUAAAGAUUUAAGAUUAAUGAUACCUGGCUCCUGCUCUGUUUCUGUGUAUAUAGUGUAUAGUGGUGGAGAAAAAGAAGCUGAGCACUAAGUGCUAAAACAACGUCCCCUGUUUACAAGAGAUUUUCUUCCCAGAUGUCCAUGGUGGUUCUCUGCUCAGGCAGCUCAGGCUUUGGAGCUGUUUGCUGAUUUCUCCUUUCUGGGAAGACCCAGAUUGCCUUUGUACAGAAAGGCCUGCAUUUGGACCCUGAAAGCUAUGAAAGGAGAUAAUACCUCGCCCUAUACUUCUACUGAAAAAGAGUCU